rnacentral:tRNA from 1 species
GGUCGAGGUGGCGGAGGAUCGCGUCGUGCUGGCGGUGCGGCAGGUCCUGCAACUGCUUCAGUACGGGUCCGGUCUCGCUGCC